AUAGAAUUUGUAUAAUUUGAAUUUCUUUUUGAUAGUAGCUUUUAAGAUUGGUUUUGGUUGAUAGUAACUUCUAAAUAUUUAGAAUCACCUUUGUUAGACAUUGGUGACCUUUGAAAACUUCUUUUGGUUCUUUUAUUUGGAGUUUAGAGCAUAAAUUAUAUAAAUCUUAUAAGAAAAAGGAUUGAAGAAGGAUUUUGGUAACAAAGGGAGUAAUUAGGGUACCGAUAUAGAUGAAUGGAGAUGAAUAAUGAAAAUCUCCAUUCCUAUUGGUCAAAAAUCAUGACCAAUGGACUUUGAGGAGGCUGCCCGAGGCCAUAUUAGAGAUUAGGGUUAGUUUCUCGAGGCCAUUUGAGUUUUGAAGGCUAAGGUCAGAAGGUUUAGGUUUUUGGCUAUGGUUUUGGUACAAGUUUUGUAUGGUUUAGAGUUUAUAUGAAGGAGAUACAAGUGCUCAAAGUUAAGGUUUUGAUUUGGGAGCUACUGUCACUCUUUUAGGCAUAACGCAUGCAUACGGAUAGCUUUUUAGAAUCGGCGACUGUGACUGGAGAGAGAACUUUUGCGGCUACACUGUUCACAUAUUGCUUACUGGAUUCCAAGUUGAAGUGAAGGAGUUAUUGGAUUUUGAAGUCAGCACAUGCAAUCUAAGGGUAGUAAGUAACCCGAUUUACUAGUGGUUGUCUCUUGAGCUAUAUCUUGAGCAAUUUGACAAGGUUUUGGCUCAAAAUUUCAAGGAAUGUAUAAUUUUAUGUUAAUAAAAUUUGUGCUAAGUUUUAUGACAUUUGAGUAUUGGAUUCUUGAGAUAUUAAGAAAAUAGUGUUUGGGUGCUUGUAAAUUAGGGUUUAGAGC
rnacentral:lncRNA from 1 species